rnacentral:rRNA from 1 species
GAGUUUGAUCUUGGCUCAGGAUGAACGCUAGCGGCAGGCCUAAUACAUGCAAGUCGAACGGUAAAUAGAAUAGCAAUAUUUUAUGAGAGUGACGUACGGGUGCGUAACACGUAUGCAACCUACCCAAAACAGGAGUAUAGCUCGGGGAAACUCGAAUUAACACUUCAUAGUAUGUUGGUGUGGCAUCACACAGACAUUAAAACUACGGUGGUUUUGGAUGGGCAUGCGUCUGAUUAGUUAGUUGGCGGGGUAAUGGCCCACCAAGGCGAUGAUCAGUAGGGGAACUGAGAGGUUGAUCCCCCACACUGGCACUGAGAUACGGGCCAGACUCCUACGGGAGGCAGCAGUAGGGAAUAUUGGUCAAUGGAUGCAAGUCUGAACCAGCCAUGCCGCGUGCAGGAAGAAGGCCUUCUGGGUUGUAAACUGCUUUUGCCAGGGGAUAAAAAAGGGCGUGCGCGCCUAAUUGAAGGUACCUGGUGAAUAAGCCACGGCUAACUACGUGCCAGCCGCCGCA